GGGGGACAAGGGAUCAGUCAGUCCACAGGGAGAUGGAACCUAUACUUACUCCACCUCAUCUCUUCCUCACAGUUUGACAAAGACAGAGUCUUCUGCAAACAAUUUUCU